GCUCCAUGGGUCACCUCUACUGAGCUCUGCUCUGAAUAUAGUUUAUUCUUUAGACUGCAAUUCAGAGUCAAGUAAAUAUUUCACAUGAUUUUGGCAUAAAGAUAAAUCUAAAUUUUAAAAAACUCUCCCUAAAAAUCAAAAGCGAAAUGAAACAAAUACACCUAUACAUCUACAAAGUUAAUGGCUUUGUAAUACAAAGAAGAAUUAUUUCAGUGGACUUCAGAGCACCUUCACUUGACUAUAUAUCUCUGUGGAAUAUAUCAUAUGAACAAAAAGAACUUCAAAAAUUUCUUUGUCUCCUGAAAAGGUCUAGAAAUAACGGCAAACCUAGUAGCAAUGAGCGCUAUUAAAGAACAAUGACAAUCAACAAAAUUUAGAAUAUAAGAAAGUCUAUAAGACAAGCAAUCAGUUUCAUAAAUACAUCUCAGAAGGGAGAGGAGAAGAGGAAAGAGAAGAAGAGAAAGGGAACAGAUUGAAAGAGAUUAACAAGACAUACCAACCAAAUGCAAGUGUGGCUCUUGUUUGAAUCCUGAUUCAAACUGUUAAAAGAUAAUUGGGGAAAUAUGAACACAUAUUGGAUAUUUGGUGACAUUAAAGAAUAGUUGUCAAGAA